rnacentral:lncRNA from 1 species
CCAGAAAGCAUCCUGACUGGCUGAUGGUCCAGCAGCUCCUGGCUGGGCAGGAUGGGGCUCGGAGCCUUGAAGGGCUACCUUAACUGGGCCCUCCUGAGCCCCUCUUCAACUCCUUAAGUUUGAAGCAAUGAGCGGAAAUCUUAACACAGCUCACAUAACCCAGAACAGAAUUUUUCAGAGGAAGAAACUGAGGCUUGGAUAGGUUAUGUGAUCAGGCAGCCAAUGUGAUCAUGUCAUCGACUAUAGUAGAUGGAGUUGUCCUAUUCUAUCAACAAAGCUAUUGGAGAAUAUUGAAGAGGGAAAAAGAAUAUCAACGCUUUCCACAAAGUUCUAGAAGGCAGAAGCCUUAUCAUUCCUUCCACCAGCUAACUCCAAAUUAUUUGAAGGCAUCUCUUUGAUGUUGGAAUAUCAUUCAAAAGCAAUAUUGAAUAUGACCAUUCUUCAGGCCCUCAGAGGAGUCCCACAUCCAGGGUCAGAGGCUUGAUGACUUGCAGACACACAUGAAUUCCGUGAUGAACCUGUCCAAAUAUCCCUUGAGGCACCAGCUGAGUGCAAAAGGGGGCAUGGAGAAUGGAAGCCGUCUGCAAAUUCCUCCUUGAUCCAAAUUAGACCUGGCAAGAGUCAAGCUUUCCCAAGAGCCAAGAGAGAAUCACUGGACGUUGACAAGGGCAGAGAGUAGAAAAGACAUAGUCACCCUUGGAUAUCAGGGAUAAUCCUGGAGCCUCCAGACCAGCAAAAGUCCAGCUGGAAAACCUGCCCAGCCUCUUACACAUUCGUCCCCACUCUAGUAUGAGCCAUGGCAGCUUCCUGGAGAGUACAAUCCAAGACAGCCCAAUUUAUUUUUAUCUUUUAUCCUCUGAGAAAAAUAACAGGAUUCAUCAAUAAUGCCAUGUUUAGACUCAUUUGGGAAAUCAAGAAGUUUGCCAUGAGAACAGCAUUCUCUUUGAUCCAUUUUACUACAGUAUCAUAUUUUGGAAAAUGUAAUUAUAGCUGGAUUCCCCCAGCAAAAUCAAAGGACUCUGGGUGUCCUUCUGCUGUAUGGGCAGCCCAGGCCACUGGACAAGGUGUCUGAUGGCCAUACGACUGAUGCUGUCAGAUCAGCUCAGUAUUCUAUGUUUCUUCACCUGCUGUAAAUGAGCACUGCUCCUGGAAAAUGAGGUCAGUCUUCCUCCCGGGUCUUUCCAAGCUCCCUGGAGACACUGGUUUGCAGAGGUGUGCUCUUUGGGAUCUUUGGAAAGGAGAGGCUGAGCUGGUAUUGACAGUGCAAAACCCUCAUUAGGAAGUAACACUGUUAAAAGAGAAAGAGGAGUAGCACCGCAGACUGGAUAAAGUCCCUACCAGCCCAGCAGUGAGCUCCGAAGCAGAGAUUGCUUGCGGGAGGAGUCCCACAUCCAGGGGAAGAGGCUGGGCCCUUGUACCGUGGCCUUGCUUAGUUACAGGACCAGGGUUCCCUUGCUCCCUGCAUGCUGAGGAGAAUCCAGAGGGGCUAAUAGCUGGAGACGGUGAGCUAAGCACGCUCUCAGCCCCUGGGCAGCCAGUCCUUUCAUGAAGAGAUCUGAGCUGCGAUUCUCCAGGUCUGCUACAAAUGGUGAGAAGGACAUUUGGGCUUGAUCAGGGGACAUGAGUUCAGAGGAUCUCAGUCAAAGCUGUUACAUAUGUCCAGGACUUUCUGGAGCCAAAAGAAUAUUUACAGUGAUUUCUCCCUAGAAAUUCACUGCUUAACAGGAGUUCAAAACUGCUUCUUAUUGAAAUUUAUUCUUUCCUACUUCACUAGCUAAUUCAAUAAACAUCUAUUGAGCAUUUUCAAUCUAUAUCUAUUGAGUUCCUUGAAAAUGGCAAACCCUGAGUAAGGGUUGAAGCUACAAAUAUUCCUGAGGCUUAUAACCUCCUCUCCGAGGGCUUACACUUCCACAACAGAUAUAAAUACGAUGUGAAAAUAACUGAAGAAAUCCAAGAAAGCUUGGGACAAUUGCUGUGGAAAAGAAAGACAUUUGGGCUUGAUUAGUUGA